rnacentral:lncRNA from 1 species
GAUAAUGAAGACAUAUGGUACCUGUGAAAUUGAAGACAGUGUCGCCAUUGCCAAUCUGAAGCGUCUUGAUGGGUGAAGCUUGACAGUGGCGGAGAACGAUGGAGAAAUCACCAGGCGCAGGAAGGGGGAUUAGUUUUGACUAUGGUGGCUAACUGCUGUUGUGAAGAAGACAAAUGCGAUGAAGAAAUUAUAUAACAAUUGCCGCAGGGUAAAUCUCAGGAAAUAAGGAGGGUGUGAUCAAAAACUCCAGAGAGAAAAGAUUAUGAUUGAGGCAACGACUCUUUUAGAAAGGUGUUGGUCGGGACCUGUGAAGGUGCUAACAAGGGAAGAGAAUUUUGGAAUAUAAUAUUAUAUUCCAGAAUUAGGGGGCAUGUGUUGAUACUAGUUUCUGACCAGAGUCAACCAAAAAAAUAAGGUUCUAACAGCUGAUGGAGGAGAGAGAAAGGAUCUAUUGACGGCUUGAUGUUGACCAAGGCCCACCACGAGCGACCGGGUUCUAGAAGUCGAUAAAAGAUCGGAAAAGGACCCAAUCUGAAGCAGAAUCAACUCUAUCAAAUAAGGGAAAGCGUGGAGAUUUAUCUUUAGUAGUUUUUAGAUUUGUUGUAAUAGUUCAUGUCAUAAUCGACUAGGAUUUUAGCUUACUCCAGAGUAUAAAUAUAAACCCAUGAGCCUUGUAACGAAUAAUCAUCAAUCAAUCAAUACAACCUUUCGGUGCCACACCCCCA